rnacentral:rRNA from 1 species
UGGGGAAUAUUGCGCAAUGGGGAGGACCCUGACGCAGCAACGCCGCGUGCAGGAAGAAGGUCUUCGGAUUGUAAACUGUUGUCGCAAGGGAAGAAGACAGUGACGGUACCUUGUGAGAAAGUCACGGCUAACUACGUGCCAGCAGCCGCGGUAAUACGUAGGUGACAAGCGUUGUCCGGAUUUACUGGGUGUAAAGGGCGCGUAGGCGGACUGUCAAGUCAGUCGUGAAAUACCGGGGCUUAACCCCGGGCUGCGAUUGAAACUGACAGCCUUGAGUAUCGGAGAGGAAAGCGGAAUUCCUAGUGUAGCGGUGAAAUGCGUAGAUAUUAGGAGGAACACCAGUGGCGAAGGCGGCUUUCUGGACGACAACUGACGCUGAGGCGCGAAAGUGUGGGGAGCAAACAGGAUUAGAUACC